GGACCGCGGGGGGAGGGGAACCGAGAGAGUGAGAGUGUGAGAGGCAAACCCGAGAGCCCGAGACCCGAGCCGGGAGCCGGGAUGCUAGGGUCCAGGGUAUUCACUCCGGGGGUCUGAAGAUAUUCGUGCACCGCUUGCGUCUAUCAGCCAAACUUCAGCUGACCUUUGGACUCGUUAAACAAGUAGCUUGCAGCCUGGUGUGCAAGGCGCCGGGACUUUUCCACCCGCUGCGGGUCCGGCUUUAAGUCUGGAGAGAAGGAGAAACUGCUCUCGGGGGCUCAGCUCCAGGACACAGCGGUUCCCAGGGCCAGAGACUGAUCUCUGUGGACGCGAGGUCAAGGCGGCGGUGGCUGGCGACUCCCACGCCAAGUUGGGAAGGGGCCGACCAAGCCAGCGAGGGACAUAAGUGAUUGUUCACGCCGGCCCGGCCCAGGAAGGAAGCCGGGAACCUCUCAGCGCUAUCGGAGUUUCACCUGCAUCUUCCCGAGGCGCUCAGGGGCGAGGAAGGAGGCAGGAGGUGCGCCCCGACUCCAGGCUGCCCUGGACCUGCAGAAGAUCCAGGGUAGCAGGGGCUUUUUAGGACCCAUGGCUCACAGUCCCAUAGUUCCUGGGGCAGAGGACACCUCCUUCCCCUCUCUAAGCCCCAGGUUCAUCACCUAAGAAAUACUGAAACCUAAAGCCCAGAGGAUGUGGCAUUGUGUACAUUGAGUGAGCCCACCUGUGAAACCGUGUAUUCCAGGAACAGUAUUCACACUUUUCUGAGAAGGCAGGCAGUCGGUUCCUAGUAGUAAAAUCUAGCCCUAGGGAGGUUCAGGAUUCUCAGAACCAGGCAAAUUCAGUGCUGGGCUUGGAGGGACUGGGAGCUUAGGGACAAACAUUCAGAAUGAGCAGGGCAUUUGCAAAGGAGCUUCUAAGCAAAGUCCCCCCACUUUCCCACCUUUUAAAGGCAGUUAGGAGGAAGAGGGGAAUUUCAGCAGGAGUAGGAGUGGGAAUGGGGAGGGUCAUCAGAUCUGUCUGCUUGGUUCAGGUACCAGGGCUGAAGCCCAGAUGUUGUUGAUCCAAGUCAGGCUGCUAAGGAGCCUGUCGUUGUUAUUUAGUCCCUAAGUCGUGUCCUACUCUUUUGCGAUCCCAUGGACAGUGGCCCUGCCAGGCUCCUCUGUCCAUGGGAUUUCCCAGGCAAGAAUACUGGAGUGGGUAGCCAUUUCCUUCUCCAGGGGAUUUUUUCCUGACUCAGGGAUGGAACCCAUGUCUGCUGCAUUGGCAGGAGGAUUCUUUACCACUGAGCAACCAGGGAAGCCCCACUAAGGACCUAGGUUGACUUUUUAAAUUACAGGGUUUGCUCUGUACUCCUGGACCACCCACGAGAAAGGGGUGGUUGUGUGCACGGAGCUCUGGGUGACCUUUACAGCAUCUCAGUGUCUUUCCCCGAGAAAGGGGUAAGAAGUUCAUAGAAACGAGGGCUCUUCAUUUCACCUUAUUGUCUUGGAGUUUGUUGUGACAUAUGGCACCUCCUUGCCCCUCACAGUUCAGCCCAAUGGGAGAACAUUUUUUGCCUCCCCAGCUUCCCUCAGCAGGGAUAAUGAAGUGUUCAGAGUAAAUGUCCCUGGAGAACAAUCGCUUUUUCUCUGUCCCUCACUUGCUAUCAUGAUAGAAGCAGUCAAGUGUAAUGAAGAUGAGUUUCUGUGUUUAGCUGGGAAAACCCAUUAAAAAACCAGCCAUCACUUCCCUUUUAACAACAAAGCUUUGAUUUGCAGUUCCGACUGCUGUGUGCCCAGUCUGACUCUCAAGCUUCCUUAUCUCUCAAAAUUCAGGUGUCAGCAAACCCAUUCUUCCCCCCUACCCCAGCCAAUGGAAACACACAGAACGUUGCCCAGAGCACAAGGAAAUUUCCUAUGCGUGUCCAGGUAAUCUGGCUAGUCAAAGUCAGCAGCUUCCUGUAACCCGCUUGCUCAGGUAUAGGUAUAUACUACCUGAUGCAAUAUGGGUGCUCACCAAGUAACUGCAGCUAUAGAUCUGUGGGCAUACCCAUUAUCUAUCUAUUCAUAUGGAAAUUUAGAAAGAAAAAGUGUAAGGAUCCCAGCAGGGGGUCCUUUGGGAUGUGGGUCACAAACAUUCACCAAAUGAAUUAUCUCAAAAAACACUUUGGUUAGGCUUCCUCUCAAAAGAAGAAGCCAGAACAUAACUGAAAUACUCUUAUUUAUGCUUCACAAAGGAUAAAGUAAUGAUGGACUGAGACAGUAGCCCCAUUUUAAAGAACUGGGAAAGGAUGUAGGACAUUUUAAAGAGGUGGCUUGGAGCUACUGUAAUAAGUUAAAGAAGGGUUGAGAUUGGGGCUCAGGAUUUUUGAGUAGGGCUUUAGGAUGAAAGAGAAAGGGCUCCAGUUUUACUGUGUUGGGAGAUGGGAAGUUGAAAGAGGGGAUUCUGCUGUGAUUCCACAGCAGAGAAUAGAGAACAGAUGUUGGAGUCAAACAGACCUAAAUGUGGGUUCUGCAAUCUACUUAACCAGCUGUGCAACUUGGAUAAGCUUGCGUUGCACAAACUUCUGAGCUUCAGCUUCCUUAGGCGGAAAAUGAUCCUAAUACUCUACUGGGUUUUUGUGACGGUGAAAAAAUAAUGAGUUGGUAACUGCAGGUUCAAGUGUCUGACAUGUUUAGAAAGAGACAGCCCAUCAUGAAAACAUGCAAAGAAGUAAGGCAGCUGAUCUUCUGGGGCUCUUUUAUUCCCAGCUUUUGUUUUUCUUUUUUGAGUUACUGAAUUUAAGGAGACCAGAUUAGGUUCUUCUACUCAAACAAUGAAUCCACUCGUUCACAUCCCAAGAUUUUUCUAUGAGGAAAUGUAGUCCCUGAUCCAAGAUAAUUUAAAAUACAGUUGGCUCAUUAGUCUAUGAAAGUUUUCUGGGCACCGUCUUGGAAGUUUCACAGAAGGGCCCUUGUGGUUCCCAUGGCCUCAAUCUCUCCCGUAACUUCACAGCCCAGGGGACCCUGCUUUCUAAGCUUGUGCACAGUCUUCUUCCUACUUUCCACGGUUCCCCUGAUUUGCUUACAGCUGGGAGAACCCAGUCCUCUCUGUUCUCUGAUGCUCCCCUCUCCACAUUGAUUCGGGAGAGUCUCUAGAAAGCCUCACAAUGAAAGCAUCUCUAGAGUUAAGCAUGAAUACCACCCUAUCCUAGUCUGAAAGUGGUUGGAAGCCUUAUUGUUAAGACAGCAGCGUUGCAGCCUAGAGAGCGUUCUAGACUGUGUCAUUAGAGCCUGAGUUCCCAUCUCUGGAUACAAAACUCUUUUCCUGGUAACUCUUCACCUCCCCCAAAAGGCUUGGCUGGGCACCUUCUCUGAUUCUGCUUUUGAAAGAUGGCCACUUGGUCUGAAUGGCCAUUUAAGUUCCCCGUUUUUUCCAUGAUUUGAAAUUCCAGAAUGACCACGUUGUCCAUUUCCAGACUUUUGGGCAGAUGAUACAUGAGCUCAGGCUGGAACUCUGAGUAGUACUAGAAAUAGGACACCAUGGAAAGUAAACUCCAAGAAGAUGGAGACCAUCUCAUGACUUACUCUUCAAUGUCUGGAGAGGUGUCUGAUCCAUAAAACACGCUCAAUAAAACCUUGUUGAAUAAAUGAGCAAGUAAUCAUUCCUCCACAAUA